rnacentral:rRNA from 1 species
UCCCCUAGUAACUGCGAGUGAAGCGGGAAAAGCUCAAAUUUAAAAUCUGGCAGUGUGUCUGGCUGUCCGAGUUGUAACCUAGAGAAGUGAUGCCCGAGCUGGACCGUGUAUAAGUCUCCUGGGAUGGAGUAUCAUAGAGGGUGAGAAUCCCGUCUUUGACACGGACUACCAGUGCGUUGUGGUAUGCUCUCAAAGAGUUGAGUUGUUUGGGAAUGCAGCUCUAAAUGGGUGGUAAAUUCCAUCUAAAGCUAAAUAUUGGCGAGAGACCGAUAGCGAACAAGUACCGUGAGGGAAAGAUGAAAAGAACUUUGGAAAGAGAGUUAAACAGUACGUGAAAUUGUUGAAAGGGAAACGUUUGAAGUCAGUUGCAUUGAUCAGGGAUCAGGCCAGUUUUUUGCUGGCUGUACUUCCUGGUUGAUGGGCCAACAUCGGUUUUGACUGCUGGAGAAAGGCGGAGGGAAUGUGGCACCUUUUAUAGGUGUGUUAUAGCCCNUUGUCGUAUGCAGUGGUUGGGACUG